CAAUAUCAUCUCAGAAACGCGUGUGCUUCUCAAAACCUACAGCAGAGGACGACACUUUCCAUCUUUAUUUUAGAGCGUGGUCUACGUUGCUCUUCAUUGGAAGGGCAAACUGCAGUUUUAUGGUGAAGAUAAUGACACUGUCAUGUCAUUACGAGUUACUAGGGUGAUGAUCAUACGUAAUUAAUUACCCGAUGCGCACCAUGGGGACCAAAUAAAGGAUAAUUUCCAGAUAAAAAGUAUGCUGCUUGGACAUGAUGCCUAGGCAUUGCGACUCAAAGUCAGUAUCUGACCAAUUAAGGGUUUUGAGGACUGUUGAAUUUCGGGAGCUUCUGCAGGAUGAGGAAUAAAUUAGGCAGAUCAUCAGAUUCAGCCAAAAGGCUCUCUCACAGAAAUUCACAGAUGGGAGAAUAUCCCUGGAGAAUUUUGUGGAGUCCUGUCAAAGAUCUUGUAAGGUCUACCAUGUCCGUCUGGUUCAUCAAGCCGGAACAGAAACCCCAAAGGCCCACUGAGAAUCACAAUAGUAGGGAGCCUCCAUCAGUUGACUUCCCCCUGAGCCCCCCUCCUAAUAUUUGCCAUGUUUUCUAUGGUCUCACCUCUGCUAUUAUUCUGCUUAACGUCUACCACUCCUUCAGCUCUGCUCCAGUCCACUGCCGGAUGGGUCCAUAUCAACCGCCCCUGAGUGACCACAUCAACAUUGCUAAACCUGAGGCCUACAGCCUUGCCUUUUGACACUGGCCAGCCUGUAGGCCUUAGAGUGUAUGGAAAGGGUCAUGCUCCCAGUUGGCCAGCCAGACCUGUACGUCUGCAGCGACUCAACAACAUAUAGCCUAGACAUCAUCAGCAGGACCCACUGCCACAUUGACACUGUUGGAUAGAAAGGGCAACUGUUACUCUUUGGACUAUAAUGAAUUUAUGUACUUUAUGAUUGUCUGUAAAAUAGCACCACAUAGUUGAAACAAGUUGAUUAAGAAGGGUGAAUAAAGACAACACCUUGUGGGUUUUGUUUUAUAUCCAGGCUCCCCUAAAACAUGUCAUUGUAACAUCAUACUGUAGGCAUCAAUGCUUUCUUGGGGUAGGAAACCCCUGAACUCACUGUGCCUCAGUGCAGUAGGUCACAAGGUGUACUUAAACUCUUCACCUAGCUACACUUGAUAGCUCAGAUCAUCCUCUCUCCACAGAGACUCCUGCUAAGGUCAGCCAAGGACCACGUCUGGAACUGUCAAACUGCAAGCUUUUUCAAGCCUCUAAAUCACACUUUCUCUAUAAUUUUUAUUACAUCCAAAACCAAUGUUGAUUCAUUGUUCCUAAAAUUCAUACUGAAAGCAUAGUUGCCUGAUUCCAUUGAAUGACUAACACUCUGCCUACCGUACUCAGUGGUUGUCGUUUGUUCCCCCAGUUAUGUGGAUCACCAGACCAAGGAUUCGCCUGAUCAGCCAUAAGGUUAGCCAGACUGCCAUCUAGCCUAAUCAAGCUCACUGCACUAGUUAGCUGUCAGAGAGAGGCCAGUGAGUUUACAGGAGCUCAUUAGUGAUGCAGUGUCACGUCCUGACCCUAGUAAGAUGUCAUUUUCUAUAGUAGAGUAGGUCAGGGUGUGUUUUGUGUUGUUCUAUGUUUUCUAUUUCUAUGUUUAAGUUCUAGUUUUUCUAUAUCUAUGUUGGGGUUGUUUCGGUUAAUCUCCAAUUGGAGGCAGCUGAUCCUCGUUGCCUCUGAUUGGAGAUCAUAUUUAAGUAGGGGUUUUCUUCCUGGGUUUUGUUUUCUAUUUAGUGUAUGUCACCUGACGGAACUGCUGUCGGUCGUUUUGUUUAAGUAUAUUCAUUAAAAGUAAAUAUGAGCACUCUA
rnacentral:lncRNA from 1 species